CUGCAGAGGUUUGGCCUGGAGAUGAGUACAAGGAGCUGUCAUGAUUGGCACAGUGCCUGACACAGAUGGCAUGAACUUCAGAGAUGCAAGCUGAGUGUCACUCAGAAGGGGGAUCAGAUUUGCUCAGAUCCACAUUGCAGAGUCAAAUUUCAAUUCAAUGUAAGGAAAAACUGCCCAACACUCAAAUAUGUUCAAAAGCAGAAUGGCCUUCCCCUCAAUUGAAACCUUAAAGAUGACUAUUUUGCUGGGGUUUGUAAAGCAGGCAGCCUCCGAGACCUUCCAAGUCUGAAACUGUGA